rnacentral:tRNA from 1 species
GGGGAUAUAGUUAAAAAAUAACAUCUAAAUUGCAACUAGAAGAUACUAAAAAGUUUUCCUCA